GUGGUGGCUUUCAUGCGCGUCCGUGUGAAGAGACCACCAAACAGGCUUUGUGUGAGCAAUAAAGCUGUUUAUUUCACCUGGGUGCAGGUGGGCUGAGUCCGAAAAGAGUCAGCGAAGGGAGAUAGGGGUGGGGCUGUUUUAUAGUAUUUGGGAAGGUAAUGGAAAAUUACAGUCAAAGGGCGGGCAGGAGUGGGGGGUCGCAAGGUGCUCAGUGGGGGUGCUUCUGAGCCAGGAGAAGGAAAUUUGCAGGGUUAAUCACUCAGUUAAGGUGGGGCAGGAACAAAUCACAAUGGUGGAAUGUCAUCAGUUAAGGCGGGGCAGGGCCUUUUCACUUCUUUUGUGAUUCUUCAGUUACUUCAGGCCAUCUGGGUGUAUAUGUGCAAGGCACAGGGGAUGCGAUGGCUUGGCUUGGGCUCAGAGGCCUGACAGUGGCACACGCCUGUAAUCCCAGCUACUUGGGAGCCUGAGGCAGGAGAAUCACUUGAACCCAGGAGGUGCAGGGUGCAGUGAGCCGAGAUCGCCCCACUGCACUCCAGCCUGGGCAACAGAGACUCCAUCUCAAAAAAACAAAAAAAAAAGCACAGGUCCCCUCCCUCAGUCCUGCAGACUUCCUCAAGCUGGGAAGGACCAAGGAUUUUGGGAAAUAACUCCACCGGCUUACAGACAGUGCACCCCAGGACAAAGAGUCAUGGUGUAAAUUUUAAUUAUCCUUUGUAGAGGCUUCAAAAAAAAAAAAAUCUAGAGUGCAGAGGUUCAGUCUGGUCCACACAGUUCUGAAUGCCUUUUAAUUAUCAUCACACACACCAGAGAAGGUCAUCUUAGAAUAUUUAAUCAGUUAGCACUAGAUGAAGGCUGGAGUAGGAGAGACUGGGAUAGUGGGGGGCAAUGUGGGGAUGGAGGCAGGGCGAGGGAGAUAAAGUCAAACUGGUUUUUUUUUUGUUUUUUUUUUUUUUUUUUUUUGGAGACAGAGCCUUACUCUGUCGCCCAGGCUGGAGUGCAAUGGUGUGAUCUCAGCUCACUGCAACCUCUGCCUCCUGGGUUUAAUCGAUUCUCCUGCCUCAGCCUCCCAAGUAGCUGGGAUUACAGGCACCCACCACCAUGCCCAGCUAAUUUAUUUGUAUUUUUUUAGUAGAGACAGGGUUUCACCAUGUUGGCCAGGCUGGUCUCGAACUCCUGACCUCAGGUGAUCCACCCGCCUCGGUCUCCCAAAGUGCUGGGAUUAUAGGGGUGAGCCACCGUGCCCAGCUAAGAUAUUUCAAUCUGUGAAUAACCCAUAUGGCCUGGUAACAGCAAGCACCUGGGAAUAUAUACAUAUAACCCACAUACGGACUGUCCCGUUCACUCCUCACAACCACUCUGCUAACAUACUACCAUCACCCCAUUUUAGAGAUGAGGAAACUGAGGCAGAGGUGCCUUGCCUAAGGUUUACAUAGUUCCAUUUGAGUGCCUACAUGGGAGUGCUUCAUUUGGUCCCCAAAGCUAGCCUGAGACAAGAACUUUCUUCUCCCCCCCCCGCAAGAGACAGGCUCUUCCCAUGUUGCCCAGGCUGCUCUCCAACUCCUGGCCUCAGGCGAUCCUCCCACCUCGGCCUCCUGAAGUGUUGGGAUGACAGCCAUGAGCCACUGUGCCUGCCCAGUUAUUAUUUUAUAAAUGUAGAAACCGAGGCACUGAGAGGUAAAGUAACUUGCACAGGAUCACAAAUCAUCACAGCCACGCACGACCUCCUUGGCUCAAGGGAUUCCUCCCACCUCAGCCUCUCACGUAGCUGGGACUACAGGUAUGCAUAACCUCGCUGGGCUCGUUACUUUGUUUUUUUUUUAGAGGCAGGAUUUCACCAUGUUGCCCAGGGUGGUCUCGUACUCCUGGAUUCAAGCAAUCCUCCUGCUUCGGCCUCCCAAAGUGUCAGGAUUACAGGCGUGAGCCACUGUGCCCAGUCUCAAACAAAAUUAAAAAUUCAGUUUCUCAGUCACACUAGCCACAUUUCAAGUGCUCAGAAACUUUAUGUGGGGCCAGGCAUGGUGGCUCAUGCCUGCAAUCCCAGCACUUUGGGAGGCCGAGGCGGGCGGAUCACGAGGUCAGGAGUUCGAGACCAGCCUAACCAACAUGGUGAAACCCUGUCUCUACUAAAAAAAUACAAAAAUUAGCCGGGCGUGGUGGUGUGCGCCUGUAAUCUCAGCUACUUGGGAGGUUGAGGCGGGAGCAUUGCUUGAACCCGGGAGGCGGAGGAUGUGGUGAGCCGACGUCGUGCCAUUGCACUCCAGCCUGGGCAAUAAGAGCGAAACUCCGUCUCAAAAAAAAAAAACAAAGGUUUAUGUGGCCACUGGCUACUGUACUGGACAGUACAGACCUAGAACAUGAACCAAACAUCACAGAAAGUUCCAGUGGAGAACACUGCUACAUAUCUGCCUGUUUUAGUUAGAAGCCAACAUUUUAUUUUUAUUUUAUUUUAUUUUUUGAGAUGGAGUUUCGCUGCUGUUGCCCAGGCUGGAGUGCAAUGGUGCGAUCUCGGCUCACCACAACCUCCGCCUCCCAGGUUCAAGCAAUUCUCCUGCCUCAGCCUCCUGAGUAGCUGGGAUCACAGGCAUGCUCCACCACGCCCAGCUAAUUUUGUAUUUUUAGUAGAGAUGGGGUUUCU
rnacentral:lncRNA from 1 species